rnacentral:misc_RNA from 1 species
AAGAACUUGCAUCUUCUUUUGCCACUGGCCACAACAAACACACAUUUACACUUUAAGCUUAAGUGAGCUUCACAAAGGUGCAUUAUUAACAACUCAGAUAAGUUCAGCAAAAAAUUAUGGUCUUGGCUUAGAGUGCCAAAGGCAGGCCAAGUCACUAGAGAAAUAUCCCACAAGAAAAUCUUCCUCAAGAUAUACAGCCAUACACAUAGUAAGUAUAAUGAGGGAAACACCAUCUAAAGCAUUUAAAGAGAAGGGAUGCUUGCAAAGAAUUUUCAAAAUGAUAAUUCAGGGCAACAAGGCAGUGCAAUGCUACAUGUUUCGGCUUUGCAAUGAUCAAGUCAGCUGGAACACCAAUUGGUGGGGAUCUUUUGAUAGUGCCAUGUUCCUUUUUUUUGUUUGAAACAUCCAUUUUUUAUUUAGGAUAUAAAUAAAUGAUUAUUGAACAUCCUCCAUUUGAAG